GGACAAUGGGCGAAUGCCUGAUCCAGCAAUACCGCGUGUGUGAAGAAGGCCUUCGGGUUGUAAAGCACUUUCAAUUGGGAGGAAAACCUACCGGUCAAUACCCGGUAGCUUGACAUUACCUUUAGAAGGAGCGCCGGCUAACUCCGUGCCAGCAGCCGCGGUAAUACGGAGGGUGCAAGCGUUAAUCGGAAUUACUGGGCGUAAAGCGUGCGUAGYCGGUUCGUUAAGUCAGAUGUGAAAGCCCCGGGCUCAACCUGGGAACUGCAUUUGAAACUGGCGGACUAUAGUUUAGUAGAGGGGAGUGGAAUUUCAGGUGUAGCGGUGAAAUGCGUAGAUAUCUGAAGGAACACCAGUGGCGAAGGCGACUCCCUGGACUAGAACUGACGCUGAGGUACGAAAGCGUGGGUAGCAAACAGGAUUAGAUACCCUGGUAGUCCACGCCGUAAACGAUGUCAACUAGCCGUUGGGCCUAUUUACAGGAUUAGUGGCGCAGCUAACGCAUUAAGUUGACCGCCUGGGGAUUACUGCCGCGAGGUUAAA
rnacentral:rRNA from 1 species